rnacentral:rRNA from 1 species
UACGGAGGGGGCUAGCGUUGUUCGGAAUUACUGGGCGUAAAGCGCGCGUAGGCGGACCUGCAAGUCGGGGGUGAAAUCCUGGAGCUCAACUCCAGAACUGCCUUCGAUACUGGCGACCUUGAGUCCGGGAGAGGUGAGUGGAACUCCGAGUGUAGAGGUGAAAUUCGUAGAUAUUCGGAAGAACACCAGUGGCGAAGGCGGCUCACUGGCCCGGUACUGACGCUGAGGUGCGAAAGCGUGGGGAGCAAACAGG